CGGACGGGUGAGUAAUGUCUGGGAAACUGCCUGAUGGAGGGGGAUAACUACUGGAAACGGUAGCUAAUACCGCAUAACGUCGCAAGACCAAAGAGGGGGACCUUCGGGCCUCCUGCCAUCAGAUGUGCCCAGAUGGGAUUAGCUAGUAGGUGGGGUAACGGCUCACCUAGGCGACGAUCCCUAGCUGGUCUGAGAGGAUGACCAGCCACACUGGAACUGAGACACGGUCCAGACUCCUACGGGAGGCAGCAUG
rnacentral:rRNA from 1 species